ensembl:lncRNA
AGGAGGGGAGCGAGGAAGGGCCGGAGCCCAGCCCCGAGGGGCCAUUCCCGGAUCCCAGCCCCGUUCUGCCCCAAAACCGCCGGGUUUUGCCCCAAAAUCCCCGGGUCAAGCGGCGCUGGCUGCAGCAGGACCUGGUGCUCACCUGCGAGGAGGAUGAGGAGGAGCCGCCCCCGAUGGAGGCGGGGGAAAAUUGGGGAAUGGGAUCCCCGGAAAAUUCGGGAAUGGGAUCCGGGAGGGGUCGGGGCUCCUGGGGCAGCGAGGAGAUUCAUGGAAAUGAGGAAAUUUUGCUCGGAAAUGAGGGAAUUUCACACAGAAAUGAGGGAAUUUCACCCGGAACCGAGGGAACCGUGCACAGAACCGGCAGAAUUUUGCACGAAAACGAAGGAAUUUUGCACAGAACCCGCAGAAUUUUGCACGAAAACGAGGAAAUUUUGACCGGAAUCGUAAUUUCGCACGAGAACGAGGGAAUUCUAACUGGAAUCAGCGGAAUUUCGCAUGAAAGUUCGGGAAUUUUGAGCAGAACCGGCAGAAUUCGGGACGGAACCGGGGGAAUUUUGACCAGAACCGGAGGGAUUUUGCACGAAAACGAAGGAAUUUUAAGCAGAAUAAGAGGAAUUUCUCACAGAACUUUGGGAAUUUCGCAGGAAAAUUUGGGAAUUUUGACCAAACCCGCCAGAAUUCGUAAGGGAACUGAGGGAAUUUUGAGGGGAACCGGAGGAAUUCUGCACGAAAACGAAGAAACUUCAGCGGGAAUCAGAGGAAUUCCACACAAAAUUUCACAAAGAACUUCGGGAAUUCCGCAGGAAAACUCGGGAAUUUUGAUCAGAACCGGCAGAAUUCGGGAGGGAACCGCGGGAAUUUUGAGCGGAACUGGUGAAAUUCCCCUCGAAAAUGAAGGAAUUUUGACCGGAACCGGCGGAAUUUUGCACGAAAACGAAGGCAUUUUAACUGGAAUCAGAGGAAUUCCGCACAAAAUUUCACACAGAACCGCGGGAAUUUCGCAGGAAAAAUCGGGAAUUUUGACCAGAACCGGCAGAAUUUCGCACAGAGCCACUGGAAUUCAGGACAGAACCGCGGGAAUUUUGACGGGAACCGGCAGAAUUUGGUACGAAAGUGAGGGAAUUUUGACCGGAACCGGCGAAAUUCCGCACGAAAACUCGGGAAUUCUGACCGGAAUCAAAGGAAUUCCACACAAAAUUUCGCACAGAACCGCGGGAGUUUCGGAGGGAACUGAGGGAAUUUUGACCGGAACCGGCGAAAUUCCGGACGGAACCGCGGGAAUUUUGCACCGAGCGGGCGGAAUUCCGCACGAAAACGAAGGAAUUCUACCCGGAGUCAGAGGAAUUUCGCACAGAACUUCGGGAAUUCCGCAGGAAAUUUCGGGAAUUCUGACCAGAACCGGCAGAAUCCGGGACGGAACCGAGGAAAUUUUGGCAGGAACCGACGGAAUUCCGCACGGAAAUGAAGGAAUUUUAACCGGAAUCAGAGGAAUUCCGCACAAAAAUUCGCAGGAAAAUUCGGGAAUUUUGACCAGAACCGCCAGAAUUCGUGAGGGAACCGCGGGGAUUUUGCACAGAACCGGCAGAAUUCUGGACGGAACCGCGGGGAUUUUGUGCAGAACGGGCAGAAUUCGGGAGGGAACCGCGGGAAUUUCGGGCAGAGCCGGCGGAAUUCCGGAGGAAAACGCGGGAAUUUUGGGCGGAACGGGCAAAAUUCGGGAGGGAACCGCGGGAAUUCCGGACGGAACCGCGGGGAUUUCGAGCAGAACCGUGAAAAUUCGCGAGGGAACCGCGGGAAUUUCGGGCAGAACGGGCAGAAUUCCGCAGGAAAACGCGGGAAUUCCGCCCAGAACCGCGCGGAUCAGAGCGCCCCGCCCCGGCCACGCCCCCGGCCCCGCCCAGGCCGCACCUGCGCGCCAGGUGAGCGCGGGCAGGGCGGGCAAGGGCGGGCAGGUGUUCGUGUGCCACUGCGGGAAGGCGUUCUCGCACCGCUCCAUGCGGCAGCGGCACGUGAACAUGCACCUGGGGCUGCGGCCGUUCACCUGCGCGCUCUG